GAGAAGUUUGAUCCUGGCUCAGAUUGAACGUCUGUGCAGGCAGGCUUAACACAUGCAAGUCGAGCGGUAACAUUUCUAGCUUGCUAGAAGAUGACGAGCGGCGGACGGGUGAGUAAUACUUAGGAAUCUACCUAGUAGUGGGGGAUAGCUCGGGGAAACUCGAAUUAAUACCGCAUACGUCCUACGGGAGAAAGGGGGCAACUUGUUGCUCUCGCUAUUAGAUGAGCCUAAGUCGGAUUAGCUAGAUGGUGGGGUAAAGGCCUACCAUGGCGACGAUCUGUAGCUGGUCUGAGAGGAUGAUCAGCCACACCGGGACUGAGACACGGCCCGGACUCCUACGGGAGGCAGCAGUGGGGAAUAUUGGACAAUGGGGGAAACCCUGAUCCAGCCAUGCCGCGUGUGUGAAGAAGGCCUUUUGGUUGUAAAGCACUUUAAGCAGUGAAGAAGACUCUUCGGUUAAUACCCGGAGACGAUGACAUUAGCUGCAGAAUAAGCACCGGCUAACUCUGUGCCAGCAGC
rnacentral:rRNA from 1 species